GCACUCGUGGUCGAGUGGUUAUGGCGAUGGACUAAAAAUUCAAUGGGGCCUCCCCACACAGGUUCAAAUCCUGUCAACUGCG
rnacentral:tRNA from 2 species